rnacentral:rRNA from 1 species
CUCGUAGGCGGCUUGUCGCGUCUGCCGUGAAAGCCCGGAGCUCAACUCCGGGUCUGCGGUGGGUACGGGCAGGCUAGAGUGCGGUAGGGGAGAUUGGAAUUCCUGGUGUAGCGGUGGAAUGCGCAGAUAUCAGGAGGAACACCGAUGGCGAAGGCAGAUCUCUGGGCCGCUACUGACGCUGAGGAGCGAAAGCAUGGGGAGCGAACA